AGAGUGCACGGGGGAUGCCUAGGCACCAGUGGCCGAAGAAGGGCGUGGCAAGCUGCGAAAAGCUUCGGUGAGGCGCAAGCAGCCAUUGAACCGGAGAUGCCCGAAUGGGGAAACCCGGCUGGUAGAAGACCAGUCACCCGCUUAAGGCGGGGGGAACCCGGCGAAGUGAAACAUCUCAGUAGCCGGAGGAAAAGAAAUCGACAAGAGAUUCCCUGAGUAGUGGUGAGCGAAAGGGGAUAUAGCCUAAACCAUGCGCGUGCAAGACUGCGGUCGUUUCGCGCACUGGGGUAGCGGGAUCGCAAGUUACACUGCCGCAGCGGUGUAGUGGAGUUACAAAAGCCAUAUCUAGCCGAACAGUGUUGGGAAAGCUGACCGCAGGGGGUGAAAGUCCCGUAGGCGAAAGGUAUAGCCCUCCAUAUUGCGACACCCAAGUAGGCCGGAGCACGAGGAAUUCCGGUUGAAUCCGGGCGGACCACCGUCCAAGGCUAAAUACCACUGGUGACCGAUAGUGAAGCAGUACCGAGAGGGAAAGGUGAAAAGCACCCCUGGCGGGGAGUGAAAAGACCUGAAACCGUGCACUUACAAGCAAUCGGAGUCCGGCACUCAGCCUUGCACAUCAGCCGGCAGAAUCACAGUCAGAAGGGACAGACUGUGGAACAGAGGCAGUAGAAGAGGUUAAUGUGAGAGGCUGAGUGCCGGAUGACGGUGUGCCUAUUGAAGAAUGAGCCGGCGAGUUACGGUGCGUGGCGAGGUUAAGGGCUGACUAAGGUCCGGAGCCGGAGGGAAACCGAGUCUGAAAAGGGCGAAUUAGUCGCGUAUCGUAGACCCGAAGCCGUACGAUCUAUCCAUGGGCAGGUUGAAGUCCGGGUGAAACCGGAUGGAGGACCGAACCAGUGCCUGUUGAAAAAGUCUUGGAUGACCUGUGGAUAGGAGUGAAAAGCUAAUCGAGUACGGUGAUAGCUGGUUCUCCCCGAAAUGCAUUGAGGUGCAGCCUCGUGAGACAGAAAGUGACGGGGGUAGAGCUACUGGAUGGAUGAGGGGGACUGGGGUCCUACCGAUUUCAACCAAACUCCGAAUACCGUUACUGGAUACACGGGAGUGAGACUACGGGUGAGAAGGUCCGUGGUCGAAAGGGAAACAGCCCAGACCGACAGCUAAGGUCCCCAAGCCCGCGCUGAGUGUGACAAGGAUGUGGGGGAGCCCAGACAGCCAGGAGGUUGGCUUAGAAGCAGCCACCCUUGAAAGAGUGCGUAACAGCUCACUGGUCGAGCGCCCCUGCGCCGAUAAUGUAGGGGGCUAAGCGCGGCGCCGAAGCUUCGGAAUGAGAUCGCAUAUGCGAUCUGAUUGGUAGGGGAGCGUUCCGUACAGGGAGAAGUUGUGCCGUGAGGCAUGGUGGACAGUACGGAAGUGAGAAUGCCGGCAUAAGUAGCGAGAAACGCGUGAGAAACGCGUUCGCCGAAUGCCCAAGGUUUCCUGGGGAAGGUUCAUCCACCCAGGGUCAGGCGGGACCUAAGGCGAGGCCGAAAGGCGUAGUCGAUGGACAGCAGGCAGACAUUCCUGCCCCGCCCCGAUGACGAUACUACCGAUGGGGUGACGCAAGAGGCUAGGUGCUCCGGGUGAUGGAAUACCCGGUACAAGGAAGUAGGGGGACGGACCAGGCAAAUCCGGUCUGUUGUAUAACCCUGAGAUCUGAUGUGGAUCCGCUGUAAUGGCGGAGAAGUCAUUGAGGCCAAAUUGCCAAGAAAAGCCUCUAGGGAGGAAUUGGGGCGCCCGUACCCGAAACCGACACAGGUGGGCUGGCUGAGCAGGCUAAGGCGGACGAGACAACCUUCGCUAAGGAACUCUGCAAGUUGACCCCGUAACCUAGGGAGAAGGGGUGCCGCCGUGGUGAGACGUUUGACAUGUUAAGCUGACGGCGGUCGCAGAAACCAGGCCCAGGCGACUGUUUACUAAAAACACAGGACUCUGCUGAAGGCGUGAAGCCGACGUAUAGGGUCUGACACCUGCCCGGUGCUGGAAGGUUAAGGGAAGAGGUCAUCCGGCACUCAGCUGGUGUUGUCAGGAGUGAAGCCAUGUAUUACGUGUAUGUACUUGAAAAUCAAGAGGGAGGCACGUACACGGGUUAUACGCAGGACCUGAGGGAGCGUAUGAAAGGGCAUGAGCAUGGGGAUACAAAGAGCACCAGGGGUAAAGAAUGGACCCUGGUUUACUACGAAGCCUAUUACUCGAAGAAAGACGCCAUAAUUCGCGAACGAAGGUUGAAGAAAUCCCACCAGGCCAGAAGAUGGCUUAAGGAGCGUAUAUCGGAGAGCAUGGAAGAAGCUCUUAACGACAUGAGCUGAGUGCCGGAGAAGCUUUGAACCGAAGCCCCAGUAAACGGCGGCCGUAACUAUAACGGUCCUAAGGUAGCGAAAUUCCUUGUCAGGUAAGUUCUGACCUGCACGAAUGGUGUAACGAUCUGGGCGCUGUCUCGGCGAGGGACUCGGUGAAAUUGUGGUACCGGUAAAGACGCCGGUUACCCGUGGUGGGACGGAAAGACCCCGUGGAGCUUUACUGUAGCCUGAUAUUGGAUUUCGGUAUGUCAUGUACAGGAUAGGUGGGAGGCAUUGAAGCGAGGGCGUCAGCCUUCGUGGAGCCGCUGUUGGGAUACCACCCUUGUCGUACUGGGGUUCUAACCGCAGAUGUCUGAAUCGGCAUGCGGGACAUUGUCAGGUGGGCAGUUUGACUGGGGCGGUCGCCUCCUAAAGAGUAACGGAGGCGCGCGAAGGUCACCUCAGGGCGAAUGGAAAUCGCCCCUGAGAGCGCAAGGGUAUAAGGUGGCCUUACUGUGAGACCGACAGGUCGAGCAGUCUCGAAAGAGGGUCCUAGUGAUCCGGCGGUGCCGAGUGGAAGGGCCGUCGCUCAUCGGAUAAAAGCUACCCCGGGGAUAACAGGCUGAUCUUGCCCGAGAGUUCCCAUCGACGGCAAGGUUUGGCACCUCGAUGUCGGCUCGUCGCAUCCUGGGGCUGAAGCAGGUCCCAAGGGUUGGUCUGUUCGCCCAUUAAAGCGGUACGUGAGCUGGGUUUAGAACGUCGUGAGACAGUUCGGUCCCUAUCCACCAUGGGCGCAAGUGGUUUGAGGGGAGCUGCUCCUAGUACGAGAGGACCGGAGUGGACGCACCUCUGGUGUACCGGUUGUGCCGCCAGGCGCAUAAGCCGGGUAGCUAUGUGCGGAACGGAUAACCGCUGAAAGCAUCUAAGUGGGAAGCCGGCCUCGAGAUGAGACCACUCACCGCACUUAAAGCGGGUAAGGUAGCACGGAGAUGACGUGUUUGA
rnacentral:rRNA from 1 species